rnacentral:rRNA from 1 species
UACGAAGGGGGCUAGCGUUGCUCGGAAUCACUGGGCGUAAAGCGCACGUAGGCGGAUUGCUAAGUCAGGGGUGAAAUCCUGGAGCUCAACUCCAGAACUGCCUUUGAUACUGGUGAUCUUGAGUCCGGGAGAGGUUAGUGGAACUGCGAGUGUAGAGGUGAAAUUCGUAGAUAUUCGCAAGAACACCAGUGGCGAAGGCGGCUCACUGGCCCGGUACUGACGCUGAGGUGCGAAAGCGUGGGGAGCAAACAGG